GUUUAUGGAAGGCUGUGCAAGUCACAUGCAGGGAGGUGUGACUAGGGUUCAUAAACAAAGGGAUUUAACUCCUAAAUGGCAGAGGAUUGAGCAGUGAGGCUGCAGGGGCAUGUUCUAUACACCAAAACUGCUUCAUUAAGCUAAAGUUGUUCAGGUGACUAUAGUGUCCCUUUAAAGUAUUCUAUUAUCAACCAUUGAUUUUAUAUAAAAUAAGUGCUAUUCUGGGGAUUAAGUAAAUCAUACUUAAA